CUUAACAGUUUGCUUUACUUGAGAUCCAUGGUUUUUCAGAAGAAAAUGCAGAGGAAAAGGAACUUAGGGACCUGGGUCACUUCAGAGGGUCACAGAUCAGUUGAGGCCUGGGGAGAGUAGGGGGUACCAAGCAGUAAAAAUAUUUUGUACUGCUGGAUGUGAAAGAGAAGACAAGAAAGGAAACUGGAAAUAGACCCAAGUCAAACUUAUCUUACCCCAGUAUUUUACAUGGCGAUGGAUGUCUUGUGGAGGAGUCAGAAAGUCGGGCCUGGACACUAUUGCCCGCCAUACAGGGGAAAGCUUCAAGGCUCUAAAAUUGUGUUCCUUUCUUGUCAUACCUACUUUCCUCCCUUCCCACCACGUGUUUUUUUCAUCUUGAGUUAGUAAUUACUUUUUACAUUGAAAUUUUAUGACAGCUGACCAUGGUUUUCAUUCUGAAGGCUCCCAUGAGUACAUGUUAAAUAAAUUUACAUACCUUUUCUCCUGUUAAUAUGCCUUUAGUGAGUUAUUUUUCAGUAAACUUCAGCAGGAUAAAAACACCAUAACAGAGCAAUGCUGUGGUCCCCAGCCUAGCUGCUCCAGGGUCUAGUUGGUUCCUAAAGAAACUGAUUUUAAGUUUUUCUUUGAUAUAUACUUUAAGGCAAUAAUUAGGAGCUCUCUGGGGUUGAAUUUUCUCGUGUUUUAAACCCAAUAGAAACACAGACUGACCUGUAGCAUUUGUGAAUAUGCUAGUAUAAUUAAUUCCCCAAAUCGAGUCUCUGCCUUUCUCCAGGAGUCCUGUGAGGUUUACAGAUUAAUUCAGUUGCAGACUUAGGAUCCUUACUGUGAUCCUCUUCAGGGAAAUAAAAAAGGCAGGAGCCUUUUGGCUUAGACUGCCAGAGUAAGAACAAUAGGCCUUAACGAAGUUCUUUUUCUUUGCCCCCUUUUUGAAUGAUGACUUUUUACUUCAAUGCAGGAAGGUUUCAUGAAGGAUAAGGAAAAAGAUCCCCUGUUCUGUUUGUGUACAAGAUGUCUGUGGGUUCCCAGCAAUUUCAAUUUCAGUGACUCACUGAUAUUCCCUGCAUUACAAUACCUACAUCUACCAGACCCAAACAGAGAACUCCUUAUGCUGGUUUAUGGUUUUCAUACUUGUAAAUGUAUUAAUUGUUUUUCAUUCAUGAGCAUCUCUAGCUAGAAACAAAUGUUUCACAUAGACUUUGAAGAAGUUAAACAUUAAAUUUAAAUGCUCUAACACUAACUGACCAAAAUCAGUAAUAGACUUAAUUUUAGACUAUUUCAUUCCUGGACAGUCUUCUAAACAUAGUUAUUUUGUUCCCCAAUGUUUUUUGGUUCGUAAGCAACUACAUUUUAUUUUCUUAUUUACAACUACAUUUGCAAAUGCUAAAAUUUAUGGUCAGAAAAUGAGUGUCUGAUUCUUUUCAACUUGACAUAAAUCAUUUGUAGAUAUUCAAUAGAAAGCAUUCACAUAAAAAAUAAAAUCUCUAUUGUUUUUCUUUUUACUUGUAUGACUUAAACCGUGAAGUGGCUAAACUGGAAUUUCAUAAGUCUAACUUAAGCCUCUUAUGUUUGGUACAACUUUCAAAUUUUUGUUGAUUAAACUGAAGGGGGGAAAAGGAAGAUACUGAUUUUAGAAACUAGCAAUGUGCCACAUGGGAAAAGACGUUCAGUUGCCAACAGGACAAAGGCCCAGCCGCCUUCCAGCAUGAGCUCCCCACCCUCCUCUACAGAGCCUCUGGGAUGUGCCUAUCUGCCCCACUCCCUUUCCCCAAGACACAUUCUGCCUUUCCCCCCUGCAUGCUUUUGCUUCUUUCAAAGAACAGAAACAUAAUAUUUUGCCAAGACUUUGCGUGCACCUUAUCUAUAUGAGUUACAUUGUAAAUAGCAUUCUAUUCAACUUUCAAACCAUCCCCAUGAGGUAGAAAUCUCUAUUUUACAAAUUAAAAAAAAAAAAAAACAGGCACAGAAAGAUUUGUCUACUUGCCCAAAGUCACAGAGCAAAUAAGUGACAGAAUAACUUUUUUAAAGCAAUAAAGCAUUGUCAUUUUUGUAUAUAUACUAUAUGGUAAGAGUGCGAAGAGGGUGGUCCAUUCUACCUGGUGGGAAAGAAAGGGAGAGAGGUGUCAGUAAAGCCUUCAUGAAAAAGGUAAUAGGAGUUGAGCCCUGUAAGAUGAGGAGGAACCCAGUUUUCUGAUUCUAAAGCCAAAGUUGUUUGUACUACUCACUUUCCUCAUCUCUUCAUUCUCUUGGCCUAUACAAAUUCUACCUGUACUUCAGCACCAAGCUCAGAUUCCACUUCCUUCAUGAAAACUUGCUGACCACCUCUGUCCUUUGAACUUCCAGAGCAAUUAUUUAUUAGGCAAUUUAAUUGAUGAAUAAUGUCACUUUGUGAGAUCCCUUUAUCAAUGAAACAUGUUAUAAAU
rnacentral:lncRNA from 1 species